CAAAGUUCUGCUUGAAUAAAGCUUAAACUGGACUGAUGUGUGAAGGAAACUUGAGAUUACUAAAUGGACAUCACGGUGUCUGGCCGUUGUAAGGGCGUUGUAACACCAGAAAAAACAUUACAGCGUCAACUCAGCACCCUGAGUAAGUGCAUGUCAGCAUGUUUGGUGCAAAAAAUCUCCACCUGCUUGUGUCGCUCGAGCACCCUGACGGACUAUGACGUCCAGGUGAUCCGGUCACAGGCCACGGACACGCAGAAGGCCUCGCAGCUCGUGCAAGCGGUCAUUCGGAAAGGUCGCGGGUCGUGUCAACGUUUCUUCAAAUGCCUCAGCGUGUGCAGCCCCUCACUCUAUGAAAGGGUUACGGGAUGCACGGUGAGUGUAACAGAGGAAGACCACUAUCAUUUGGAAGACAUAUCUAUUCCAGAAACAACUGGUGCAAUUCCUCCAAGUAUCAUAAAUAUACAAAAUUCCUUGGUGACCAACUGCAUCAUUGGAAGCAACAAUAACUUGCUUAGUGUGCUGUCUCAGACACAUGUUGCUCACGAUAUGAUUGAAGAUACACAGAGGGCUGACCAGCAGAUGACAGAGCAAGACCCUACGCAGGCUCACAGCAUCCAGGUGGAGCGCUCCUAUGUGGAGUUUGUUAUCAUAGGGGACAACAACUAUAUGAGGACUGGAACAAAUGAAGACUCAGGACAGCAGGAACAAAGUGAGAGUGAGCCUGAAGGUUCUGAGGGGUGAAUGGGAUGAACUGGGGAGAAAAAAAGACAGGAUGGAGAUGUUCUCCAGCAUUUUUACAGUUCAGUUCCAAUGUGUGAUAUCUAAGCAUCUCUCUUAUUAGAGAAUCAUGGAUUGCAAUCCAUAGAAUUUAACAUCAUCUGUGUAGAAAUUGAGCUCGGACUAAGCCUUACAAAACGUUUUUAAUGAAAAAUCAGUUGUUUAAGAACAUGGACAUAAACCUGGGUUCUUGGCAGUUCUGUUUCCUCUAAUAAGUGUCAAUACUUUUUUAUUUAUUUAUUUUUUUACAUAAAUACCUCAAAAUCUGAUGUUUUGUUACAAAUCGAAUCCAGUCCUUGUGAACUCAACGGGAUGUGGCAUUAUUUUUCACAUGUCCCUGCUUUUGUACUGCUUUAUAUACAUGUUCUAGUAUGAAUGUUUACUGAUUGAUGAGCGUUUCAUGGUAUUUAUAUAUGUGGG
ensembl:lncRNA